rnacentral:rRNA from 1 species
UACAGAGGGGGCUAGCGUUGUUCGGAAUUACUGGGCGUAAAGCGCGUGUAGGCGGCUUGUCAAGUCAGAUGUGAAAUCCCGGGGCUCAACCCCGGAAUGGCAUUUGAAACUGGCGGGCUGGAGUGCGGUAGGGGAUAGUGGAAUUCCUAGUGUAGAGGUGAAAUUCGUAGAUAUUAGGAGGAACACCGAUGGCGAAGGCAGCUAUCUGGGCCGUAACUGACGCUGAGACGCGAAAGCGUGGGGAGCAAACAGG